UCGGAGAAAGUGGUCCCAUGGUGUCGAGA
rnacentral:piRNA from 1 species